AUAACUUCAGUCACCAGGGAGUUUUAGAACACUGAAGUUAGAAUGGAACCAUCACCGCUACUCUAUUAAUGUUGUAUCACUAUUCAGAUGCAGUUUAUUGCAGGGAACAGCUUAAACUCAAAUAUACUAGCAUCUAUACAAUCAUGACAACACUUAUUAGUUGGUACAUAACGUAUGGGCAGAGGCUGUGCUUGCCGGAGACUAUCUGUCUUUCAGGCUCAAGAAGCAAUGGCGAGUCAGCUGCUGUCGUGCCACAGUCUCUGUUUAUUAUGUUCUUAUUAUCUUUCUUAUUAUGAAAGGAAAGAGCUAAAUGUGUUCAUGUGUUUGCAGGAUGAUAGACAACUUAACCAUGUCAUAGGGCAACAGGAAGGACAGAAGUGGAGGGAAAAAGAGCAAGCAACUUUUCUUCUAUUCGAUUGGGAAGGAGUUUGGAACUGCAGACCCGUCAGCUAUAAGGAAGUCUGGUGUGAAUGCCCAGCCUUGCCCCAGAGGGGAAUGGGUCCUCACUGAGUACUCCUGCAUCCACCUGCUUUCCCAUCUCCCCGUUUGUACAGAAAAGAAGAUAAAGACAUUAUUUAAUUAUCCUCUUUGGGAUAUGAAAGUACCACGUGGAAGAUGGAGGCCAACUAUUUCUUCUUCAGGAGAGUCAAAAGAACCACAUUGAAGAAGAGGUUCACAACAGAUGCUAAAAAAUCUAAGGGUGCUCAUGGCCUGAAUACGUUUCCAGGCAGAGUUUGUGAGCAGAGUUCACAAAGGUGCGGAUGAAGACCGUUCGCUGGGCUUCACUAGUACAAAGACAGGCUGACAGUGCAAAGACGAAGAGGAACGGUCCCAGCCAUCAGGGAACUCAGCAGCUUGGAAGAUACUAAACAGCCACUCCUCCAGGAUCUUCUAGUUAGGAAAUUGAAGGCUCCGUCAUUGCUAUAGGCAUUUCAAGCUCGGCCAGUAGGCUCUGUAUAUUGACAGAGAUGAGAAAGACUGCUAUAGGUACAUUUUUCGUUCUCUAAAAAAAAGGGGUAACAGAUGUGGGGGAGAAGAAUUAGAAGCAAUGCAGAGUCUGUGUUUUCUUCUUUCUCCUAAGGUUAUGGCUCGUGUCCCAAGUUGUUGGGAAGGAACCUCUGGUUGCAGCAGGACUGACUGUACAAUUUGUGAGCCCAGUGUGAAAUGAAAAUGCAGGGCCCCUUGAUCAAAAAUUAUAAAAAAAUCUCAAGACAGCGCCAGCAGAGCAUUAAAACAAGCCCCAAGUCCCAGGCGCCACACAGCCUCGCUCUUCUGCAGUUCAGCUCUUCCUUUUACGUUCCUCUUCUGGCUACCUCAUUUAUCCUUCCGUAAACCUUCACUGAUGAGAGAUGUGGUAACCCAAGCAAGUCUAUCGUUCUUGCAACUAAAAUGAACCAGCACACUUAGGACACGACAGGGUUCCUGCUGUCAUUUCUUCCUCUUACCUUGUACCGUCUAAAAAUUGCAGGGAUGUAUUAAAAUGCUUUCUACUCCAUGUUAUUUUAGGUAAUAUUUAAUUAGGUUUUUAUGCUUUAAUACGAUGUCUGAUGUUCUGGAUCGUAUCCUCUAAUUUUUUCUACUAUAAUAAAGUUCCUGACACUA
rnacentral:lncRNA from 1 species